CCUACGGGAGGCAGCAGUGGGGAAUAUUGGGCAAUGGGCGCAACCCUGACCCAGCAAUGCCGCGUGAAGGAAGAAGGCCCUCGGAUUGUAAACUUCUUUUAUUCGGGACGAAACAAAUGACGGUACCGAAUGAAUAAGCCACGGCUAACUACGUGCCAGCAGCCGCGGUAAUACGUAGGUGGCAAGCGUUAUCCGGAUUUACUGGGUGUAAAGGGCGUGUAGGCGGGAGUGCAAGUCAGAUGUGAAAUUUCAGGGCUCAACCCAGGCACUGCGUUUGAAACUGUACUUCUUGAGUGAUGGAGAGGCAGGCGGAAUGCCGGGUGUAGCGGUGGAAUGCGUAGAGAUCGGGAGGAACACCAGUGGCGAAGGCGGCCUGCUGGACAUUAACUGACGCUGAGGCGCGAAAGCGUGGGGAGCAAACAGGAUUAGAUACCCGGGUAGUC
rnacentral:rRNA from 1 species